UCUGCAGACUGUCGCCUUACGGCAAACCAUCCGCGAAGACUGAGGUAUCAACGCCGAAGACGGAAAGACAGGCACAAUGUAUGAAAAUCUCGAGUUUACGGCCUCCACCAUCGAAGAAGCAGGUCCGAUGACUGGAAACUUCCCGAUCUUCUUCGAUCUCACAAGGACUCCAGCACGCUUCCCACGCCUCCUUCGCUGUUUUCUCCACAUGCACAGACAUCCUGGCAGGGAGUGAUGAUGAGAUGUUCGACCUCAUCACGCUACCAUCUGAAAAUGACAACCUGUGAUCUGAACCAGACAGGCGGAGGCGGCGGUACCUGCACUUUAAGGGGAUUACACCGCACAUUUGACAUCCAACCGGACAAAGAGUGACCGGAGACCAGGUGCUUUUAAGGGGCGCCGUGGUUUGUCAGUUGUGGAAGUUUAAUGAUUUGCAUUAUCACGCCGCUCGCUCACAGCAGGAGAAGUAUACGAAGUAGGCCUAGCGCGAGGCCCCGACGAGCUCUUUGAGUGACAGCUGCACAGCCAAUCAGAUGCCAGUAUCCCGCAGUCACAGAGUCUUUUUGAAAACUGGAAAAAGGCACACAGUCAACAAAGCCAGGGAGAAAAUUAUUCAGAAGAUGGACCUCCGAGGAUGUUUUCACGCCCACACAAGUGGCCAAGAAGUGGGACAACCUCAAAAGAAAAUAUGCGGUUGAGAUGCCCACCAACUGGGAUGGGGACUGACAGCUACAUGGCCAUAUUUUGGUGACAUGCAUGAGGCCAUCCAUUGGGCUCUCACCCUUAUGGACUCAGCUGGCGUGGUUGCUGAGGCCUCUGGUGAUGGCUCAGGAUCUACUGAGGCUGCCCCGAGCCAGGAGAUGGAGGAUGAGGAGGCCACUGAUUCUGGCUCAGACAGCUAUAUGGUGGCUGCGGAGUCAUCCACCUCUUCCGGUCCCCCUCCCCGCAAGAAGCGCAAGAGCUCCUAGGUCUAGUAAAAAAAGUCACUUAUCAAUAUGUGGCAGUUGGCAAUGAUAGCCUACUGUGGCAGGCCGACACAAACAAAUCAAUGUAUAGGAAACACUGAUUGAGUGAUGACGUAAACAUGCUUCGGCUUGGAUCGUUAGGCACUAGCGUGAGCGCAGGCCAGCGGGGGAGUUGGGAGGGGGGACAAUCGUGCUCAGACACGGUACAAGGCAACCGGGCCUAGUGUGAGAACACCCUAAAUUCACAGUCACAUCAGAGGUGAUUAUGGUCAUAUUAAACCUGAACAUCAGCACCUUGGGAUUUUCACACCCUUUGUAGUACAGGCCACUGGUCUUAUGCCACUCAUCACUUGUUUUUGCCAACUUGUCGUAACGUACUCUCUCGGCCAGAAAACUACUUUUGUCUUUUGUACUCUUAAGUACCUUUGCUUAUGUACUUAUUAUGUCUCUGCUCUUCAGAGCCUUGCCUCCAGUGCCAAUCGUCACUCAAUGUCGUAUUACUCAGACCACAACAAACCCACUACGCCUCCUCAGUCUGCCUGCCGGCCUUCAGCCAUUGUCAGCCAUGCCCGUCCUUGCUGCCUCGUGU